rnacentral:rRNA from 1 species
CCUACGGGUGGCAGCAGUGAGGAAUAUUGGUCAAUGGGCGCGAGCCUGAACCAGCCAAGUAGCGUGAAGGAUGACUGCCCUACGGGUUGUAAACUUCUUUUAUAAAGGAAUACAGUGAGGCACGUGUGCCUUUUGUAUGUUCCUUUUUAAUUAAGAUUCGCUAACUCCGUUACCGCAGCCACGGUAAUUCGGAGGAUCCGAGCGUUAUCCGGAUUUUUUGGGUUUAAAGGGAGCGUAGAUGGGUUGUUAAGUCAGUUGUGAAAGUUUGCGGCUCAACCGUAAAAUUGCAAUUGAUAAUGGCAGUCUUGAGUACAGUUGAGGUAGGCGGAAUUCGUGGUGUAGCGGUGAAAUGCUUAGAUAUCACGAAGAACUCCGAUUGCGAAGGCAGCUUACUAAACUGCCACUGACAUUGAUGCUCGAAAGUGUGGGUAUCAAACAGGAUUAGAUACCCCAGUAGUC